UACGUAGGGUGCAAGCGUUGUCCGGAAUUAUUGGGCGUAAAGAGCUCGUAGGCGGUCUGUUGCGUCGGCUGUGAAAACCCGGGGCUCAACUCCGGGCCUGCAGCCGAUACGGGCAGACUAGAGUUCGGCAGGGGAGACUGGAAUUCCUGGUGUAGCGGUGAAAUGCGCAGAUAUCAGGAAGAACACCGGUGGCGAAGGCGGCUCUCUGGGCCUUACCUGACGCUGAGGAGCGAAAGUGUGGGGAGCGAACAGG
rnacentral:rRNA from 1 species